GGAACUCUGAUGCAGCAACGCCGCGUGAACUAAGAAAGCUAUCGAGUCGUAAAGUACUGUUCUAGGGGACGAAGAAAUGACGGUACCCUAUGAGAAAGCCACGGCUAAUUACGUGCCAGCAGCCGCGCUCCUACUUCCGUCGCACGCGUUAUCCGGAAUCACUGGGCGUAACGCGCUCGCAGGCGGUUAAACACGCCAAUAGUGAAAUCCACCAGCCUAAACUGGUGUCAGCUAAAUGGAACUGUAUAACUUGAGUACAGGACCGGAAAGUCGAAUACCUAGUGUAGUAGUGAAAUGCGUCGACUAUUCCGAAAGAACAUCACUAGCGACGGCGCAUUCCUGGACAGUACCUGACGCUGAGGAACGUAUAGCGUGGGGAGCGUACAGGAUUAGAUACCUUGGUUGUCCACGCCGUAUACUGAUGGUAUUACUUGGUGUUGACUGUUAAAGGUCGGGUGCCGGAGCAAAUGUAUUAAGUUAUCCCGCCUGGGGAGUACGGUCGCAAGGCUGUUACUCCAAAGAAUUGGCGGGGACCCGCUAUAAGCAGCGGAGCAUGUGGUUUAAUUCGAAGCAACGCGAAGAACCUUACCAAAUCUUGACAUAUCGAAGCUAUCUGAGUAGGAUUAGAGUUCCAUGUGGACUUUGACUACAGGUGGUGCAUGGUUGUCGUCAGCUCGUGUCGUGAGAUGUUGG
rnacentral:rRNA from 1 species